UGCACCGAUAGACGUUCGAAAGCGCAGUUUCUGUCCGUCUGUCACGAUGCGUGCCAUAAUACUCUUGUCGCUCUUUAUCAUAUCUAUCUCCUUUGUCAAAACUGCACCACAAUCAAAACUACAAGUAAACCCAGAUGUAGAAGGCAAGCCGUUCGUCGAGGAGGUGUUGGUGGAGUCAAUGCUGCAUGUAAGGAGUCCAUCACUGGGUCGCAGUUCCCGCACCAACACAAACACUAACCUACAAGACGGCACCAGAGUCACCGAGAACAAGAUUUAAUAUGUCUUAUAUAUUGUAAUAAUUGUUAAAAAA